GUUAUGAUCAACUCAGUAUACCACUGGAGGCUACAGGAGCAAACAGCAAACUGUUUCUCAUGAAAGCAGGAUGUUCAAAGCAGGAUGUUGGCAAAAUGACAAACUGCAUCUGCCACCCAGAAGGAAUGCUGAGGGCAGUCAUGCCCCAAGUGCAGUGUUUUUGUGAUUAGGCACAACUGAAGCUUGUUAGCAAUAAUAUGACCCUGUGAUUAAUUGAGCGGCUGACCAAUCAUUACCUCCUCCUCCCUGCUCUUUCUACCCAAUAAAUACAAAGGGCUGUGGAAGCUCAAUGGGCUGCCUUUGCUCAUUAGAAGCAGGGAGCUCUCUUCUUCUUCCCCUGGAUCCUUCCUUUAAAAUAGUUUCUUUUGUCUUAAGUUUUCAUUUCUACGUUUGUCCCUUCAUUCAGUCUCUUAAAUGACGGUCUCAAGCAGUAACAGUAGUAAUUGCUGUAAUGACGGUCUCAAGUAGUAACCAGGGCACUCUGCCACAAGUGGCACCUGAACAGGGACUAACAGGGACUAUCAAGAACAAACGGAGACCUGAAGAGACCUGAAGGGAACUGAAGAGGUCUGCAGGGACAAAUAGAGAUAAGUAGGGAUAAAUAGAGAUAAAUAGAGACAAAUAGAGAUAGGUAAGGAAUGACAGGGACUUGCAGGAAGUAACAGGGACCAUAGGGACAGAUAGGGAUAGAUAAAGACUAGCAAAGACUAGCCGAGAUUAGCAAAGACCAGCAAGGACUAGCAGAGACUAGCAAAGACUAGCAGAAACUUGCAGGGACAGGCAGAGACAGAUAGGGACAGAUAGGGUCCUACAGGGACUUGAACGAGGAAGAUCUGCUGGAAAAGAAAAGAACUACAACCAACCAGAUGAACAAGAAACCCUGUUACAAGUCUGCUGGCAGCAACAUAAGGGUAUGCUUGUUUUUGCAGGAAAUGAACAAAAAGUGUGGGUGCCCCCAAGGUGUGUACUACCAUGGAAUGGGAGAUUGGAGGGACACAUGGAUCCCAACCGUGGGCCUGGUUCCCCCAGUAUGAGCUGAAUACGAAGACAGAACAAACCACCAACCGGCAAUUGAAGUAAAUGAUAGCUCCUUACAAAUACAGAGGACAAAAUAAAAGUGACUUAAUUAUAAAAACACAGUGACACAAAGUGAACCGGGUUCUAUAAAUUACCAUGGAAAGUGGUGAGCCAACGAUUUGGCAGAACAAAACCCUGAGGAUAUGCAAACAAAAGGGACUAUGGAAUUUGCAAUUGCAGAUUAAAAUUGAAGAAGAAAACAUUUGAGUUGCAAAUACCGUAUUAAAAGUGGACACUGCUUAUGACUGCUGUAUGCAACAGUUUUUCAGGCCCGAGAGGAACCCAGACAUGCUCUAUUUGCAAACCGACUGCAUGAAACAAAAAGCACGGUAAUUCUGAAGCUGUUGGCUUGGAUGAAAUGAGAAUGUAAUUAAAAAGAAAAAGGUUAGCAAAAGAACAUGCUGGGAAUUGAAAAUAAAAAUCUGAAAUGAUGUCCCAGCCUGCCCUUAAGGUCUUUUCCACCAUGUAGAGAGCUACCUCAAAUGCUCUACUUGUCCCAGAGUCUAUGUUCUUUCACUACUAUUGCCUAUAUCUGUGUUUUCUGCUUUCAAUAAUCUAUUGAAAUAAUCAAAAUUAAUUACAUUCAGCAUUUUUUCUGUAUUACUCUGAUUCUAAUAAUUACCUCAAAUUUAUUUGUGCAUUUCUAUACUAGAAAGAAAAAAUAAUUUUUAGAGUUUUACUAUAUCUUCCCCUUAAUUCUAAGUUGCUUGUCACUAAUUCCUUUCCCAACACUAUGUUAUUUCCACCAAGAACAUUACCAAUAUCUUCAGGAAAAUUCCACCCCAUAUUUUAAGCCAGAUUGAUUAUUGGGAAUAUAAAUACAUUUAAGAAGGAAAGUCUUUUUGACUGUGUUUCUCCACAGACCAAUAGUAUACAAAACACAGAAGGCUUUUAAGCACAUUUCAUAGGGAUCACUGACUUAGAACAGAAGGAACCAUUUCGUGAAACACUCUCAUUUUGCACAUAAAGGAGCUGUGGCCCACAGAGGAAUAUGAUUUACUGAGAGUGACCCAGUUAGUGGCCAUAAACCAAAAGCCCCAAGAUGCUAAAUGUUUGUUAUGAAGAGUAAAAAUCCUCCCAGUUUAUAAGAAGUAACUUCAUCCUUCCAUUUUCUAUUUCCACGAUGACUCCCCUGGCUUAAAUUUUAAUCUCUAUUUUGGAUGACUCCAAAAUCUCAUUCUUCUAAAUUAAUUAUCUAAUACCACAAUGUUGCACUUAUCUUCCUACAAAUCUACUUUCAUCUGCCUUGACAAAGCCAACCCUAAUUUUCUCUAGUCCUCAUUAGAAAUUAUUGCAACAAAAAUUCACAUCCAGUCUGAAGUUUGGGAGCCAGAAAAGAAUUUUCCCAUUAAGAUGAGACAGUAUCAAUUAUUAAGCAGAGGAAGACACAAGAGGGAAAGCAGCUUUCACAUGAAAAAAAAAGAACUCUGAUUUUCUGACACAUUUUGUCAUUGCAGUCAAACUUUCAGAGUUAGAACUAGAGACCUAGAUAUUAGCUAACCCAGCAUUUUCCAAGUAUUCCUCGGAACUCUAGAGGCACAGCAUAGUACUGGUAAUGAUUUUGUGGCAGGAUAGAUUAAGGAAACCUCACAGUUAUACCAAGUUAAAUUCAUUUAUUUCAUGUAAAAUUCUGAUAGCCUUUUAUGCUACUAGGCCUAGUGAUACUCCAAAAUUAUUGGCCAUAUAUCUGAAAUUUAUUUCAGCAAGAAACCCUUUAAAGAGCAUCCCGCAGAGUUAGUGUUUUGAGGGAUAUCAUUGGGGAAAAUGCUGAUCUAGACCAAUUCAACAAAUUGUAACUUAGUUAACACCAGAGUCAAAACAAAAACCAAGUCUACUCAUGUCUGUCUUAGGCCCUUUUGGUCACAAAAACACGUUCAAACCACUUCAAUUAAGAAAAUGGUGAGAGGGGAAAAGACAAGCAGGGAACCUUAUCCCAGGUGGGCUGAUCACAGGACUUCCAAGGCUGUCCCUUAGAAGAGUCACGAUAAUGGCAUCUCUAGCACAAAACUCAAAUUUAGUUUUAAUUCUUAGUCGAAUAAUAAUACAGUAAAAUUUAUUGCAUGCAUAAGGAUAAUACAUUAAAACUACUUAAAUUACAUUUUAGGGCCGGGCGCGGUGGCUCACGCCUGUAAUCCCAGCACUUUGGGAGGCCGAGGCGGGUGGAUCACGAGGUCAGGA
rnacentral:lncRNA from 1 species